rnacentral:ncRNA from 1 species
UUAAUUUGACUCAACACGGGAAACCUCAUCCGGCCCAGACACGGACAGGAUUGACAGAUUGAUAGCUCUUUCUCAAUUCCGUGGGUGGUGGUGCGUGGCCAUUCGUAGUUGGUGGAGCGAUUUGUCUGGUUAAUUCCGAUAACGGCAAGGCUGGUUUAAUAUUAGAAAAACCAUUAAUGUAAUCUACCAUAUAAAUAAAACAAAAGACAAAAACCACAUGAUCUUAUCAAUUGAUAGAGAAAAGGCAUUUGACAAAGUCCAACACCCAUUUAUGAUAAAAACU